rnacentral:rRNA from 1 species
AUGAACGCUGGCGGCGUGCCUAAUACAUGCAAGUCGAGCGAACGGACGAGAAGCUUGCUUCUCUGAUGUUAGCGGCGGACGGGUGAGUAACACGUGGAUAACCUACCUAUAAGACUGGGAUAACUUCGGGAAACCGGAGCUAAUACCGGAUGAUAUUUUGAACCGCACGGUUCAAAAGUGAAAGACGGUCUUGCUGUCACUUAUAGAUGGAUCCGCGCUGCAUUAGCUAGUUGGUAAGGUAACGGCUUACCAAGGCAACGAUGCAUAGCCGACCUGAGAGGGUGAUCGGCCACACUGGAACUGAGACACGGUCCAGACUCCUACGGGAGGCAGCAGUAGGGAAUCUUCCGCAAUGGGCGAAAGCCUGACGGAGCAACGCCGCGUGAGUGAUGAAGGUCUUCGGAUCGUAAAACUCUGUUAUUAGGGAAGAACAUAUGUGUAAGUAACUGUGCACAUCUUGACGGUACCUAAUCAGAAAGCCACGGCUAGCUACGUG